ACACUGACGACAUGGUUCUACAAUCAACUUUCGAUGGUAGGAUAGAGGCCUACCAUGGUGGUAACGGGUAACGGGGUGUUAGGGCACGACACCGGAGAGGGAGCCUGAGAAACGGCUACCACAUCCAAGGAUGGCAGCAGGCGCGCAAAUUAUCCAAUCCCGACACGGGGAGGUAGUGACAAUAAAUAACAAUACGGGGUUCUUUAGGAUCUCGUAAUUGGAAUGAGUACAAUUUAAAUCUCUUAACGAGGAACAAUUGGAGGGCAAGUCUGGUGCCAGCAGCCGCGGUAAUUCCAGCUCCAAUAGCGUAUAUUAAAGUUGUUGCAGUUAAAAAGCUCGUAGUUGAAUUUCGGGGUUAGUAGGUUGGUCAUGCCUCCGGUAUGUACUGAUCUCACUGAUUCCUCCUUCCUUAUGAACCGUAAUGCCAUUAAUUUGGUGUUGCGGGGAAUUUGGACUGUUACUUUGAAAAAAUUAGAGUGUUUAAAGCAGGCUAACGCUUGAAUACAUUAGCAUGGAAUAAUGAAAUAGGACGUUCGAUCUUAUUUUGUUGGUUUCUAGGAUUGACGUAAUGAUUAAUAGGGAUAGUUGGGGGCAUUAGUAUUCAAUUGUCAGAGGUGAAAUUCUUGGAUUUAUUGAAGACUAACUACUGCGAAAGCAUUUGCCAAGGAUGUUUUCAUUAAUCAAGAACGAAAGUUAGGGGAUCGAAGACGAUCAGAUACCGUCGUAGUCUUAACCAUAAACUAUGCCGACUAGGGAUCGGAUGAUGUUAAUUUUUUAAUGACUCAUUCGGCGCCUUACGGGAAACCAAAGUGUUUGGGUUCAGACCAAG
rnacentral:rRNA from 1 species